CUUCGUCUUCUGAGCUAAGCCACAAGCGUACCCUGUCCACCCUCCAACGUAAGCGAACUUGUUUACUGUAACCUGAACUCCACAGAACAGCACCAAGUGAACUCUCUACGGAUAUACCUGCUUAAGAUCUGGAUCCUGAAUUUCAUUCCCCCUGGCGACCUGACCACCAUAACUCGUGAGAUGUUCCGUCCGUUCCUGACUAUAUCUUCAAUAAACAAUAUUUAUUUUA